AGCCCAAACAUCGUCGCGUUUCGUAUCGUGUCGUGCCGCUCUUCUCGUCUUCCCUCUUACUCUUCCUCCACCUACUGCUCCGUCUUGAUCGGGGAGCUCGCCGGAUCCGCGAGGGGGAAGUUCGCGGGGGCCUCGAGCGCGGUGAUGGGCAGCUUGGGAGGUAACGAUGGCGCCGGGGCCGGCGGCAAGGUCGGGCUUCCGGCGCUGGACGUGGCGCUCGCGUUCCCUCAGGCCACGCCGGCGUCGCUCUUCCCGCCCGCCGUGUCGGACUACUACCAGUUUGAUGAUUUGCUGACUGAUGAAGAGAAGGCACUCAGGAAGAAGGUCCGAGGCAUUAUGGAAAAGGAAAUUGCGCCCAUUAUGACUGAAUACUGGGAGAAGGCAGAAUUCCCAUUUCAUGCCAUUCCCAACCUUGCAACUCUUGGCUUAGCUGGUGGUACAACAAAGGGGUAUGGGUGCCCAGGACUGUCACUUACAGCUAGUGCCAUUUGCAUAGCAGAAGUUGCACGUGUCGAUGCGAGCUGCUCCACAUUUAUUUUAGUACACUCCUCUUUGGCUAUGUCCACGAUUGCCCUUUGUGGAUCCGAGGCUCAAAAGCAGAAAUACUUGCCAUCACUUUCCCAGUUCAAGACUGUUGGUUGUUGGGCAUUGACAGAGCCAGAUUAUGGAAGUGAUGCCAGCUCCUUAAGGACGGCAGCAACCAAGGUACCUGAUGGUUGGCAUUUGGAUGGCCAAAAGCGUUGGAUAGGUAACAGCACUUUCGCAGAUGUGCUCAUCAUUUUAGCUAGAAAUGCAGAUACAAACCAACUAAACGGAUUUAUUGUAAAGAAAGGAGCUCCGGGUCUAAAAGCCACAAAAAUUGAAAACAAAAUUGGACUCAGAAUGGUUCAAAAUGGAGACAUAAUUCUUAAUAAUGUAUUUGUCCCUGAGCAAGACAGAUUAACAGGUUCUCGCUAUGUCUCGCAUUAUGGUAGCCUGGCAACCGAUAGGCAUAUCAAUGGGAGUUUUUGACAUGUGCCAUCGGUAUUUGAAAGAAAGGAAACAAUUUGGAGCCCCACUGGCAGCUUUUCAGCUCAACCAAGAGAAGCUUGUACGUAUGCUUGGCAACAUUCAGGCCAUGCUUCUCAUUGGCUGGCGACUAUGCAAGCUGUACGAGUCAGGCAAAAUGACACCAGGCCAUGCUAGUUUAGGCAAGGCAUGGACGUCCAGGAAGGCAAGGGAGGUAGUUUCUCUUGGCCGAGAGCUAUUGGGCGGCAAUGGCAUUUUGGCUGAUUUUCUGGUUGCCAAGGCAUUCUGUGAUUUGGAGCCGAUUUUUUCAUACGAGGGCACGUAUGACAUUAACAGCCUGGUGACGGGCAGAGAGAUCACCGGGAUCGCUAGCUUCAAACCUGCUGUGUUAACAAAAUCACGCUUGUGAAAUUCUCCAUGUUUUCUCUUACAGAGGAAGCCACCGUGAACACAAUAGAUGCCCACCUUGUAUAAAGUCUCAUGACUGGGAAAAGGAGCCACGGAAGAUUAUAUUAAUUGCACUGUCAGUUUUUCUGAUGGUGCCCGUGGUCAUUUUAAUUUCGUCUUGCAAAUUUUCCUAGCUCGAAAUAAUGCCAUCUGUUCCUACAUAGAUGCCACUGCUACAUAUAUAUGGCUGGUAGAAAAUAUAUCAUUAUGGAUUGAGUUCCUGAUGUAACACACAUUUGUUUUUAAGAAUCUUCAUCCUAGUGGUUCUAGUACUGUAUUAUAAGACAAAAAGAUGUAGCUAUAUGCUUAUAAUCAGAUAAAACAAAAGGAUUAAGGUAAAACUGUGGGGAUCGCUCGGAGACGGAGCUAGAAAUAAUGUAAGUGGUGAUAACUCAA